CUUCAAGCAAGGAAGGCCAGCAUCAGGUGUUAUCUUCAACCUCUCCAGAACAACCUCAGUUACAAUUGUCAUGGCUCAACACAAUGGUUCUAUGAUCCUUCCUGCUGUACACCUGAAUUCACCGUCUAUGAGGAGUCUCAGAUUAGUUUCAAUCCCUACGACCAAAAUUCCUACCUAAAUGGGUCUCAGGGAUCGAAGUGGUAUGCUAUACCUGCUCAUGUUCCUUUCCAACAAGAAUCUUGUAUGUUCACUUUAACAGAUCCUGAGCGAUCCAGAGAGAACAAGCCUGUCAUUAGGAAGCCUUCACCUUUUCCUGCUUCCAAGCAAACCUGUAAAUCUCUGGAUCUUCAUUUAGGCCUUGGCUUGCAAUCAAAUAUUAGAA
rnacentral:misc_RNA from 1 species